GGAAGGGUGGUCCUGUGGUUGGACACUGAACUGGGAAUCAAAAGAUGUGGGAUCAAUUCCCACCUCUGCCA
rnacentral:tRNA from 1 species